GAUAUUGAAAUAGUAAUUUAAAUUAUCUACUUACUAUGAAUGAGGUCCAGCAAAUGCUAGUCGCCUUUAUAGCAACUUAAAACUGAUAAGUGGCUCUGUUGUUUUUCAAGUAGUUAAAAAAAAAAAGAGGCAAGAUGUUGCCUUUGAUGAAUGUUUGGAAAAGAGCAGGGAUCCCACCUUUUUUUUUAAGAUGAAUGAGGAGAGAAGUCAUAUACCAAAAGCUUAAUUCAUGUCAUCUAUAGCUAAAUUUAAUAAAACAAACCAUAUCAAUAUAAGACAAAUAUCCUCCUUCUGCUUUUACAUUCUUCAAUUACUUGGAUCCUUAAUAUCAUCCCCUCUUUUUUUUGGUGGACAAUCCUUUUAAAUAACUCAAACAGAUCUUACUAUUAAGUGAUGAGUGAAUGGGUCAGAAAGAUGAUAAUGGGAAGUGUGAAGUCAUUACUAUGACAUCACUUAUUUGCCUCCAAGAAAAGCGCUGGUUGCAGGGUACAGACCCCCUUUGUGAGGCACAACACAAGGCUGACCCCUGAGUCAUGCUCUGGUAACAAUCUGUGGGCAAGCAAAUCAGCUGCUCUGUUCACUUGGCCAACCUGUUGCUAGUGGUAGCUGACGUUGUGAAGAGGAAGUAAGGACCAAGGGUCCCUCAGAGAGGGAGGAAGGGAGGACGUUCUCCUCCAUGGUGCCAUUUCCCACACUGCUUCCCACCCCCGCCCCUCCCCCACUCACCACAACUGCAAGCUUCUGCUCUGAGGAGAGGAGGAGGAAGAGAGAGGGUCGGCACCUUGAUCUCCUGCUGUCCCUACCCCAUCCCUGGCACCAGGGCCUGUAGUACAGGAAAAAGGAAUAUCCCACCCACAGGUAGCAAGAGAAUGGCUCCUUUUACAAGUGAAAGCAGGGCCCGUUUUACAGAAGAAAGAACACCACGGUUACUGGAGGCUGGUGACUCAGCACAGUGGAAAGAAGGCUGUGACCAUGAGGCUUCUCAAAUGAAAUCUUGACCGUCACCAUCAUCAUCAUCAUCGGAAAACAAGUUUCCCCCAGCAAAGCUACUCAAUUCCUCCUCUCUAUUAUUCUGUUAAUUCAUGUUUAUUUCUAAAAACUUAAUUCAAUUUCAUGCUUUAGGUAAAAUAUGGAACCUACCAG
rnacentral:lncRNA from 1 species